rnacentral:rRNA from 1 species
GAUGAACGCUGGCGGCGUGCCUAAUACAUGCAAGUCGAGCGAAGCGGGGACGGGUGAGUAACACGUGGAUAACCUCCUAUAAGACUGGGAUAACUUCGGGAAACCGGAGCUAAACCGGAUAAUUAUAGAUGGAUACGCGCUGCAUUAGCUAGUUGGUAAGGUAACGGCUUACCAAGGCAACGAUGCAUAGCCUACCUGAGAGGGUGAGCUGCCACACUGGAACUGAGACACGGCCCAGACUCCUACGGGAGGCAGCAGUAGGGAAUCUUCCGCAAUGGGCGAAAGCCUGACGGAGCAACGCCGCGUGAGUGAUGAAGGUCUUAGGAUCGUAAAACUCUGUGAUUAGGGAAGCGUUACCUAAUCAGAAAGCCACGGCUAACUACGUGCCAGCAGCCGCGGUAAUAC